CAGAUCUGGGCCGUGACUACGACCUACACCACAGCUCAUGGCAAGGCCAGAUCCUUAACCCACUGAGUGAGGCCAGGGAUGGAACCUGCAUCCUCAUGGAUGCUAGUUUGGUUCAUUAACCACUGAGCCACGACGGGAAUGCCCAAAAAACAAAUUAAAAAUAAAAGAUAAAAGGGUUUUCUCUAGACUGACAGAGCUGUCUCCCAGAACUCACUUGCUGACCAGUGGUCAAAGGGGAAAUCAUUUGUUAGCCCCUCCCUGAGGGGGAAGUGCUGAGUAAAGGGCUCAGAGGGCGUCUUCUCUCCCCUGUGUCUGCCUGCUAGAUGUUCCUCUGCAGCUGAACAGCUGGCAGGCAGCCCGAGAUGGGGCCCUGCUCAGGAAACCCCCACCUCCGCUGGGCCUCCCGGCUCCUGGGACUCCUCAGCCUCCUCUUCAAGCCUGUGCCCAUUCCCCAGAUCCUGGUCCACUCACCAUCCAUCACGCAAGGCUGGUGCAAUGUCACCAUGGAAUGCAGAACCUCAGGGGACACAGAGGACCUGAAGGUGACCCGGGAGGGCAAGGGCCUCCCCAGGCAGCUGGAGGAGAGAGUGACACUGGGACCAGCCCCCAAUUCCUGGAACCUGGCUGUGCACCUGCCCCAGAGCCAGUCCUACACCAACAUCACCUGUGUGGUCAGCAAUGAAGUGGACCAGAAAACUGCCACCUUCGACCUUGGGAAAGUCUGCCACCUUGGGGAAGCCCAUGGUUCACUUGGAGAGGCGAUUGUUGUUUCCCUACGAGGCAUCCUAGGGUCUGUCGUGGUCAUGGUGUUGGUCCUCAGAGGUGGACUGUACCUUUGGAAGGUACACAGGAAGAAGAAAAAGAAGAUGGAGACUGCAAGAGGAGCAGGAUCGCAAGAGGACUACAGGGUCCGUGAUUGUGGCAUCUAGAGUGCAGAACUGAGCCAGCAGGAGUCUCUUGAGG
rnacentral:lncRNA from 1 species